GACGAACGCUGGCGGCGUGCCUAAUACAUGCAAGUCGAGCGCAGGAAGUCAUCCGAACCCUUCGGGGGGACGUUGACGGAAUGAGCGGCGGACGGGUGAGUAACACGUAAAGAGCCUGCCCUCAGGUCUGGGAUAACCACGAGAAAUCGGGGCUAAUACCGGAUGGGUCAUCGGACCGCAUGGUCCGAGGAUGAAAGGCGCUUCGGCGUCGCCUGGGGAUGGCUUUGCGGUGCAUUAGCUAGUUGGUGGGGUAACGGCCCACCAAGGCGACGAUGCAUAGCCGACCUGAGAGGGUGAUCGGCCACACUGGGACUGAGACACGGCCCAGACUCCUACGGGAGGCAGCAGUAGGGAAUCUUCCACAAUGGACGAAAGUCUGAUGGAGCAACGCCGCGUGAACGAUGAAGGCCUUCGGGUCGUAAAGUUCUGUGUAAGGGAAGAACAAGUGCCGCAGGCAAAUGGCGGCACCCUUGA
rnacentral:rRNA from 1 species